AUUUGAAGAAGAAGAAGAAGAAGAAGAAGAAAAAGAAGAAGAAAGAGCCUAGAGGGGAUGGAAGCAAGUGAAGUCUUGCCAAGUCAAGUUGUUGAAGCUCUCUUGAAGUUAAAGAUUGUGGAAAAUCUAAAAGAAUAGAGGUUCUAGCAGGGGAGUAUCAGAUGUGGGGCCUAGCAGCAGUGUUCAGUAGUGUGUGUACGUGGAGCUGCUCAAGAUUAAAG